rnacentral:lncRNA from 1 species
UUUCUUCUAGUUUCAAUGAAACCACUCUCUCCAUGCUCCUUCUUCCUCAUAGGCAGCUGUUACUCCUUUCUUCCUAAUCUUUGAGUAUUGGUGCAUCGCAAGUAUCAACCCUCAGCUCUGUUAUUUUCUCUCUCCAUCCUCAUUCACACAGGUGAGCUCAUUCAGCGCCAUGGGUCUAAAUACUACCUAUGCAAUUAGAACUCCCAAUGUCCACUUCCAUGGAAGUGGAAGUGUGGAAAUGAGAGGAAACCCUGGCGUUUCCUCUGAUCUCCAUGCUCCUGGGUUCAUCUUUCUGCCAGGCACCUCCACGAAACUGUCUCAUGAGUACUGAAACUAUUUCCAAAAAUGAGUCCUUGGACACCUUAACACCCAAAGCUUUCCCUCCCUCCCAAAGUGGCUCAGGUCACAAACCUUGGACACACCUGUGAGUCUCCUCUUUUUCUCACACCUCACAUCUAGACAGCCAAUCCCAUUCAGUUAGUGUUUAGGAUUUAUUGUACCAAAAUUUGACCCUUUCACUCUAUUUUCAGAGAUGCUGCCCUGGUCUCAUCUCUUAUAUCUCCCUGAAAUAAAUAUAAGAGCGUUCUGAAAAUCUUUGUGCUGCUACCAUUGUAGCCCUCCGACCACCCACAGUCUAAUUAAACCACAGAGAUUGUAUUGGACCCUAUUACUGUGUUUAAAAAUUGCUUCCCAAAUUAACAACUUUAGAAAACAAAUAUGUAUGAUUUCCUGCAGUUCUGCAAUGUGGAGAUUCACGAGAGGUUAAUCCAGAUGGUUCUGCCCAGGACCUCUCAUGAGGCUGCAGUUCGCUCUCAGCAGCAACGCCGUGCAGUGGCCUCUGCCAGGCCUGGACUCAGAGAAGCAGGAAGGCAUUUCCGACCUUUCCACUUCAGGCACUUCUUCCUCUGAAAUCCCAGCACCCUCCGCCUCAGGCGCAGUGAACUGUAAAGAGACAGCCCUGGGAUUGGAGCCAUUCUCUCCAGGAUUAGAAUACCCCUUGCUCCUGCAGAGACCAAGGACUUGGUGACUGUGUGCAUUGUAAAUGCCCAUUCAUGGGUCCUUCCUGCACAAACAGGUUCUCCCUGUUACUCCAGCUGCUCUGACCACAAUCUCCAUGGCUGUUCUCACUGUUCCCGAUUUCCCAAAGCAAGGAAGUGAAACUGACAGAAGGAAAAGCCUUUAUUCUUGGUUGGAUGUGAUGGGACAAUGAUUGUAAAAAUUGUUUGAAAAGACAAAUUUCAACAUAACUAUCAGCUCUUGUGAUGCCUCAAAUAGUAUUUUGAAGCCUUAAUAAUUGCUUUUUAUUUGGAGAGAGGGUG